rnacentral:rRNA from 1 species
UACGUAGGGUCCGAGCGUUGUCCGGAAUUAUUGGGCGUAAAGGGCUCGUAGGCGGUUCGUCACGUCGGGAGUGAAAACUCGGGGCUUAACCCCGAGCCUGCUUCCGAUACGGGCAGACUAGAGGUAGGCAGGGGAGAGCGGAACUCCUGGUGUAGCGGUGGAAUGCGCAGAUAUCAGGAAGAACACCGGUGGCGAAGGCGGGUCUCUGGGCCGAUACUGACGCUGAGGAGCGAAAGCGUGGGGAGCGAACAGG